rnacentral:rRNA from 1 species
UACGGAGGGGGCAAGCGUUGUUCGGAAUUACUGGGCGUAAAGGGCUCGUAGGCGGCCAACUAAGUCGGAUGUGAAAUCCCCAGGCUUAACCUGGGAACUGCAUCCGAUACUGGAUGGCUUGAAUCCGGGAGAGGGAUGCAGAAUUCCAGGUGUAGCGGUGAAAUGCGUAGAUAUCUGGAGGAAUACCGGUGGCGAAGGCGGCAUCCUGGACCGGCAUUGACGCUGAGUGAGCGAAAGCCAGGGGAGCAAACGGG